CUUUUUAAAAAGAUCUGCUUAAAAUCACUGUUUUGAAAAAUUUAGGCUACAUUAACCUUACUGAUUUUUCACUUAGGUAAAUUUUAAAAAAAAUUACCUUAAAGUCUGUAAAGAGGCAAUUAAAAGUAUUAUCUGAACAGUUUUGCUGUGAUAAUUUUCACAUAGUGGAACACACAUUCUUGAAAUAUUCCUUAAAUCUUAAUGUAAAAAGAAAUUAUGAAGCUCUUUGAGAUCUUUCAUCUUUUCAUGCUUUUGACCACCUGAGAUUAUACCUAAUUAUUUUUAGUUGUAUCAAAAUUUGUUAACUUUUGAUUUAGAAAAAUUUUGACUGUCAAUAAUAUUUAAAUAAUUUUAAGAACCCUUAAAAGCAUGUGCAUGCUUUUAGGCAAAAUACUAAGAAAAUGCAGUGAGAAAGAGAUAAAGUUCCUUCCUAAAUAGUCUAAUAAUUGGUAUUGCAUGUCCAAUUUAACUGUUUUGAAUGAAGGGUUAUUUGACUGCAAUUCUUCUAUUCAAGCUAUUUUAUUCACUCUCAUUAUGUUGCUAGGCCAGUGAACAUCAGUCCAAAAGUGAAGAGGCAGUAGAUGUUGUACCCACAAAAGAAGAAGACUUCCCUUCUGUCCCCCCACCAUCAAAAACAGCAACAACUAAGAAGAAACUAAAGGAAGAAAGUUAUUCAAAACGGAGAGACAAACAGGCUGCUAAAAGAAAAACUGCUAAUGAAUCUGCACCAGCACCUAAAGGUA